UCUGCUUCAUCUGAGAUUACCCUUCAUAAUCGCAUGCUAGGAUUGUCCAUCCUGCUUGCCAAGGCUUCAGUUGGAACAUUCUCCUUGCCAACAAAGCUGUUUAUCCAAUUUUCUUGCUUCAGCUGCAAAAGGAUGUCUAACAUUGCAUGAUGGAUAGCACUGCUUGGAACAGGGCAGAAAACCUCACCAUUAAUCUUCCAGCAGCAGACUAGAACAUGGCGGCAGACAUUCAAGACCGGGCCAUGAUUCCAGGGUAACUGAACCCCAAGCAAACCCCUCCUUAUGUUCCAAGUAUGCUGGUCCCACUAGCAAGGCUGCCUUAAAAAAAAACAAUCAUGGAUCCAGGAAAAGGAAAAAACUGCCUAUUAAAGCCAUAAAUUCAUAGGAGAUUUAAGGGGCGUGGAGACAUCUUUAAUAAAAGAAUCCAGAAAGG